AAAGAAACUAACAAGGAUUUUCUUAGUAGCGGCGAGCGAAAAGAAAUCAGUUCAGCACUAAGUCACUUUGUCUAUAUGGCAAAUGUGAGAUGCAGUGUAUGGAACAUCAAAAUUCUAGUAUGAGAAAUUAACGAUUUAAGUCCUUCUUAAAUGAGGCCAUUUACCCAAAGAGGGUGCCAGGCCCGUAUAACGUUAAUGAUUACUAGAUGGUGUUUCCAAAGAGUCGUGUUGCUUGAUAGUGCAGCACUAAGUUGGUGGUAAACUCCAUCUAAAACUAAAUAUAACCAUGAGACCGAUAGUAAACAAGUACCGUGAGGGAAAGUUGAAAAGAACUCUGAAUAGAGAGUUAAAUAGUACGUGAAACUGCUUAGAGGUUAAGCCCGAUGAACCUGAAUAUCCGUUAUGGAAAAUUCAUCAUUAGAGUUGUAGUAUUUAAAUAAUAUUAUAAUAAUAGUGUGCAUUUUUUCCAUAUAAGGACAUUGUAAUCUAUUAGCAAAAUAAAUUUAUCAAAAAAUUGUGAAUUAUUGCUUAUUUGAAUUAUUAUGCUUGCAUUUUAACAUAAAAUAAAUGUCAUAAAUUUGAUAAAGUGCUGAUAGAUUAAUAUGAGUACAGUGCGUUAAUUUUUCGAAAUUAUAUAAUGGCAUAAUUAUCAUUGAUUUUUGUGUUUAUUAUAUGCACUUGUAUGAUUAACAAUGCGAAAGAUUCAGGAUACCUUCGGGACCCGUCUUGAAACACGGACCAAGGAGUCUAACAUAUGUGCAAGUUAUUGGGAUAUAAACCUAAUGGCGUAAUUAACUUGACUAUUAAUGGGAUUAGUUUUUUAACUAAUUUAGUUAAUUAACACAAUCCCGGGGCG
rnacentral:rRNA from 1 species